UGUGCCUGUAUAUCUGUGAAUACAAGAUGUUCAAAAGGUCUCUCCGUAGUAAGUAUUUUAUUGCAAAAUAAAUAUUUAUAUGAUGGUAUAAGACUACAAAUGAAUAUAUUAGACUUUACAAGACUCUAAAAACACUUUAUACGAAGUGUUGAAAGUG